rnacentral:rRNA from 1 species
AUUGAACGCUGGCGGCAGGCCUAGCACAUGCAAGUCGAACGGUAACAGGAAGCAGCUUGCUGCUUUGCUGACGAGUGGCGGACGGGUGAGUAAUGUCUGGGAAACUGCCCGAUGGAGGGGGAUAACUACUGGAAACGGUAGCUAAUACCGCAUAACGUCGCAAGACCAAAGAGGGGGACCUUAGGGCCUCUUGCCAUCGGAUGUGCCCAGAUGGGAUUAGCUAGUAGGUGGGGUAACGGCUCACCUAGGCGACGAUCCCUAGCUGGUCUGAGAGGAUGACCAGCCACACUGGAACUGAGACACGGUCCAGACUCCUACGGGAGGCAGCAGUGGGGAAUAUUGCACAAUGGGCGCAAGCCUGAUGCAGCCAUGCCGCGUGUAUGAAGAAGGCCUUCGGGUUGUAAAGUACUUUCAGCGGGGAGGAAGGGAGUAAAGUUAAUACCUUUGCCCAUUGACGUUACCCGCAGAAGAAGCACCGGCUAACUCCGUG